GCGCCUCGUGAAUUCAUCUCCGGGGGUAGAGCACUGUUUCGGCUAGGGGGCCAUCCCGGCUUACCAACCCGAUGCAAACUGCGAAUACCGGAGAAUGUUAUCACGGGAGACACACGGCGGGUGCUAACGUCCGUCGUGAAGAGGGAAACAACCCAGACCGCCAGCUAAGGUCCCAAAGUCAUGGUUAAGUGGGAAACGAUGUGGGAAGGCCCAGACAGCCAGGAUGUUGGCUUAGAAGCAGCCAUCAUUUAAAGAAAGCGUAAUAGCUCACUGGUCGAGUCGGCCUGCGCGGAAGAUGUAACGGGGCUAAACCAUGCACCGAAGCUGCGGCAGCGACGCUGAUGCGUUGUUGGGUAGGGGAGCGUUCUGUAAGCCUGCGAAGGUGGCCUGUGAGGGUUGCUGGAGGUAUCAGAAGUGCGAAUGCUGACAUAAGUAACGAUAAAGCGGGUGAAAAGCCCGCUCGCCGGAAGACCAAGGGUUCCUGUCCAACGUUAAUCGGGGCAGGGUGAGUCGACCCCUAAGGCGAGGCCGAAAGGCGUAGUCGAUGGGAAACGGGUUAAUAUUCCCGUACUUGGUGUUACUGCGAAGGGGGGACGGAGAAGGCUAUGUUGGCCGGGCGACGGUU
rnacentral:rRNA from 2 species